AUGGGGGAGAGGGUCAAGGGAACCGUGAAGUGGUUCAACGUCACCAAGGGGUUCGGCUUCAUCUCCCCGGACGACGGCGGCGAGGACCUUUUCGUCCACCAGUCCUCCAUCAAGUCCGACGGCUACCGCAGCCUCAACGAGAACGACGCCGUUGAGUUCGAGAUCAUCACCGGCGACGACGGACGCACCAAGGCCAACGACGUCACCGCACCGGGAGGAGGGGCGCUCUCCGGCGGCUCCCGCCCUGUCGAAGGCGGUGGUGACCGCGGGGGCCGUGGCGGCUACGGAGGCGGCGGCGGUGGCUACGGCGGCGGCGGUGGCGGCUACGGAGGCGGUGGUGGCGGCUACGGCGGUGGCGGUGGCGGCUACGGUGGCGGUGGCUAUGGAGGCGGCGGCGGCGGCGGCGGCCGUGAGUGCUACAAGUGCGGCGAGGAGGGCCACAUCUCCAGGGACUGCCCCCAGGGCGGCGGCGGCGGCGGUGGCUACGGAGGCGGUGGCGGCCGUGGUGGUGGCGGCGGCGGUGGCGGCUGCUUCUCCUGCGGCGAGUCUGGCCACUUCUCCCGCGAGUGCCCCAACAAGGCCCACUAG
rnacentral:rRNA from 1 species